AAUCAACGCUGGCGGCGUGCCUCAGACAUGCAAGUCGAACGCGAAAUCUCCCUUCGGGGAGAAAGUAGAGUGGCGCACGGGUGAGUAACACGUAGGUAAUUUGCCUUUGGGUGGGGAAUAACUCAGGGAAACUUGAGCUAAUACCGCAUAAUGCAGCGGCUCGACAUCGAGACAGUUGUUAAAGGCGGGGGAUUCGCAAGAACCUCGCGCCUGAAGAGAAGCCUGCGGCAGAUUAGCUAGUUGGUAGGGUAAUGGCCUACCAAGGCAACGAUCUGUAACCGGCCUGAGAGGGCGGUCGGUCACACUGACACCGACAUACGGGUCAGACUCCUACGGGAGGCAGCAGUCGGG
rnacentral:rRNA from 1 species